GAAGAAAGUGGGAGGCGUGCUUAACACAUGCAAGUCGAACGGAAAGGCCCUGCUUUUGUGGGGUGCUCGAGUGGCGAACGGGUGAGUAACACGUGAGUAACCUGCCCUUGACUUUGGGAUAACUUCAGGAAACUGGGGCUAAUACCGGAUAGGAGCUCCUGCUGCAUGGUGGGGGUUGGAAAGUUUCGGCGGUUGGGGAUGGACUCGCGGCUUAUCAGCUUGUUGGUGGGGUAGUGGCUUACCAAGGCUUUGACGGGUAGCCGGCCUGAGAGGGUGACCGGCCACAUUGGGACUGAGAUACGGCCCAGACUCCUACGGGAGGCAGCAGUGGGGAAUAUUGCACAAUGGGCGGAAGCCUGAUGCAGCAACGCCGCGUGCGGGAUGACGGCCUUCGGGUUGUAAACCGCUUUCGCCUGUGACGAAGCGUGAGUGACGGUAAUGGGUAAAGAAGCACCGGCUAACUACGUG
rnacentral:rRNA from 1 species